rnacentral:rRNA from 1 species
AGUGAACGCUGGCGGCGUGCUUAACACAUGCAAGUCGAACGAGAACGGGUAUUAGUUUACUAAUACUGUCAGCUAAGUGGCGCACGGGUGAGUAAUAUAUAGUUAAUCUGCCUUAGAGAAGAGAAUAAUUGCUGGAAACGGCUUGUAAUGCUCUAUAUGCCUUUAUGACAUAAGUCAGCAAGGGAAAUGCUUUAGUGCUCUAAGAUGAGACUGUACAGUAUCAGCUAGUUGGUGAGGUAAUGGCUCACCAAGGCAAUGACGCUUAACUGGUUUGAGAGGAUGAUCAGUCACACUGGAACUGAGACACGGUCCAG